UACGAAGGGGGCUAGCGUUGCUCGGAAUCACUGGGCGUAAAGCGCACGUAGGCGGAUUGUUAAGUCAGGGGGGAAAUCCUGGAGCUCAACUCCAGAACUGCCUUUGAUACUGGCGAUCUUGAGUCCGGGAGAGGUGAGUGGAACUCCGAGUGUAGAGGUGAAAUUCGUAGAUAUUCGGAAGAACACCAGUGGCGAAGGCGGCUCACUGGCCCGGUACUGACGCUGAGAUACGAAAGCGUGGGGAGCAAACAGG
rnacentral:rRNA from 1 species